rnacentral:misc_RNA from 1 species
GCAACCUUACUAUUGUGCCAAGGUCGAGAACCUUUACUUUUUCUUCUUGUUUCUAAUUAAUGUUGUUAAAUCUUAAUGCCAAGAUUGAUUGAAGAGACCAGUGAAAAAUAAAUUACUGACAAGAAUCAAAUUACUGUGCAGAAACAACAUACUAUGCAUGUGAUUUCUUGUAAUCUUUGAUUGUUUUUGAUCUCUGAUGUAAUC